GUGGGGAAUUUUGGACAAUGGGCGCAAGCCUGAUCCAGCAAUGCCGCGUGCAGGAAGAAGGCCUUCGGGUUGUAAACUGCUUUUGUACGGAACGAAAAGGCUCUGGCUAAUACCUGGAGCUCAUGACGGUACCGUAAGAAUAAGCACCGGCUAACUACGUGCCAGCAGCCGCGGUAAUACGUAGGGUGCGAGCGUUAAUCGGAAUUACUGGGCGUAAAGCGUGCGCAGGCGGUGCUGUAAGACAGGCGUGAAAUCCCCGGGCUCAACCUGGGAAUUGCGCUUGUGACUGCAGCGCUGGAGUGCGGCAGAGGGGGAUGGAAUUCCGCGUGUAGCAGUGAAAUGCGUAGAUAUUGACAGGAACACCAGUGGCGCAAGCGGCUAUCUGGACCGAUAUUGACGCUGAGGCACGAAAGCGUGGGGAGCAAACAGGAUUAGAAACCCCUGUAGUCC
rnacentral:rRNA from 1 species